ensembl:lncRNA
CAGAAUAGACUGUAAUAGAAUUAAUUCAUAACUCCUACUAGCAAUAUGGGGAUGUCUCACUUCUACAGGUACUUACAUAAUUGUCAUUAGUGAAAGUAUUUUAGAAGGGUCCCAUGAUACAGUUUGAUGGAAAAUUUUAAGUGAAUGUUGUGGUAAGACAUAACUGGUUGAGGGACAUAGUCUGCCAUCAGAAAUAUAUACCUGCCAACAAGUUCCUCUUAAGGUAAGUCUUUGGAUCUCAGACAGACGUAAAGUGGUACGAGGGAGAUAAAAAUCAGGCUCUGAUCUUUCUGCACUAAAAUACCUCUUCCAGAACCACGAAGAGGUAGCACUGAGGGCCAUAGUUGGUGGGUAUGGUGGGGGUGGAUUGAUGGUUGGAUUUGGGGAUCUUAGUGGUCUUCUCCAACCUUACUGAUUCUAUGUUCCUAUAUUCUGUUUGUCAAUGGCUUAUGGGCUGAUUCAGCCCAGUUCUGUGACUAGCAGGGUGGAGGGACCUGCAGAUCCGCGCCCUGGAAAGGGAUAAGGGAAAAGGAUAGAGAGAUGGGCCUAAAACAACACAGUGGCAAUGAUCUGAGGAGAAACAAACUAAUUUAUUAAAUAAGAUAUUAGAAUGCAAGAUAGCACACCAUAAUACAGUAUAAUACAGUAUAAUUAGAGUUGGAGCUAAUAAAUAAAAUGAGAGCGAGUGUCCAAAAACUGAAGGCCUUACUCUGUUGCUGAGAUGAGAUGUGCAGUCGGGUCGAGCAGCAGGGAAAAGAGCUCUCAUGCUGCUGAGACCAAAAAAAAAGGGGAGGGGAAAUGACCUACCAAGGCCUUUUAUCUGUUCCCCCUGAGUGAAAAUGGUAACAGAACAGUGAACAGGGGAAUGUAGUAGUUCUUUUCUUCCAGGACAGGUACCCGGAUCUGUAGCAUUAACUCUUUAACUCCCAGUGCAUUACAUGUUGUUAUGAUGUGGAAUACUGAUAACCAAACAAUCAUAAAACCAUGACACUGUUUCAGUUGGUAUUCCAUUGCAGGGAGAUGUUAACGAACUGUGAGCAUCUGGUGUAGCUACACUGGUGUAGCUUGUAAUCUGCAAAACUUGCAGAUGGUGGGAAUACUAUUUAUUGUUACUGGCUGCUAGUGAACAGUCCCACAAAAGAAGAUUUACAUAUGCCUGAGAGGGUUGUGCCCCAAUAAGAUGACAGAAAUGAUCAGAUUCAGGCUUUUACGUGAAACAGUCACUAGAAGGUUCACAGCAUGAAGAAAGAGAAUGUGGCCUUCCCCAG